ACCAUGUAACCCGUUGGAUGCCAAAAUGGUAAACAAGCAAUUUGGAGGUGCUAGGGAAAGAGAAGAUAUGCAUCGUGAGUGCUUUUGAAGUCUAAGCCUGACUUUCACACUACAACAAUAUAAAUGGAACAAACAUACCCAAAGCUAUCUUUAGCUAUCACGAUUGUGAUCUGAUCUCACCACUCCUCCAUCAUCAUAUCCUUCCUCCAGUCUCUGCACGCAAGAUGCCACAUUUUCUCAACCUAAUUGUUAUAUUCAGAAGUUAAACAACUGACUCAAAGCAAAGAUACUCCUCAGUUUAAUGGAAGGAACAAAAAAACACAUUUCUUAAGUAAACUCUCAAGUUACCA